ACUCCUACGGGAGGCAGCAGUGGGGAAUAUUGCACAAUGGGCGCAAGCCUGAUGCAGCCAUGCCGCGUGUGAUGAAGAAGGCCUUCGGGGUUGUAAAGUACUUUCAGCAGUGAGGAAGGUGGGUAUGUUAAUAGCAUAUUCCAUUUGACGUUAGCUGCAGAAGAAGCACCGGCUAACUCCGUGCAGCCAGGCCGCGGUAAUACGGAGGGUGCGAGAGUUAAUCGGAAUUACUGGGCGUAAAGCGCAUGCAGGUGGUUUGUUAAGUCAGAUGUGAAAGCCCGGGGCUCAACCUCGGAAUUGCAUUUGAAACUGGCAAACUAGAGUACUGUAGAGGGGGUGAG
rnacentral:rRNA from 1 species